GCAUCCCAUGUACCCCUCAAUUCUUUGGUACCCACAGCCACCGUGGCAUGGGUCACUUCAGUCAAGGACAUGGGAGAGAUGCUUUGCCUCUUCAACUGACAAAAGCUGCAGUUCUGCUUUGUUGUAGCACUGGCUAGAAGAGUCAUCAGCCAGAGCCUGUUUCUUUUCUUAGAAAAAUUAUGUAUUUUUAAGGGCUUUUUUGGAAGCUGUGAGAGCCAAUCACAUCCGUGUUUGGAUCUCUCUUAACUCAUACGCUUGAGAGGAGAAAGCUUUUCUCUGAGCUAAGCAGUGACCUGCACUUCCGCCACGCUAGAGGCACUAGUGCCUAGAGGUCCAGGUAACCAACCUCUGGUGACCUCUAGAUCUGCAAGUAUUUAUAAAACAUGUUUAGCAAGGGUUUUUCCCUUGCAGCACUCAGAGCUGAUCUGUCUGUGCCUUGCAUUUCAUGCUUUUUCUGUUCUUCAGAAGCACCAGCGAAACACCAGGAAGGGGAGGCAUGUUUGGUAUUCCAGCAGUACCCAUCAAACCAUGGCGUGGGAUCACAACCUUCUUGUGCUUAAGCAUGCCUUUGUGGGACACCUUUGGAUGCAAUCAGCCGAACCAUUGACUUCUUUGCAAAGCCUGGCAGUACUUGCAGCUUUCCUAUUAAACCAAGCACAGUUUGGUUUAAUCCCCUCAGCCGUGCUCUCUGAGGUACUCGUUACCCAGCAGGAAGAAGCAACACGACUUCAUCAGCCAAAAAAGGUGGUUACUGGCAAAGCCAAUGUAUAGCCAUGGACCAAGGGAGGAAGCGGAGCUAUAUUUACACCUUAACUAAGGUAGAGUAUAUUCACUUUAAUGUGACUCCCCCUUUCCAGACACACUCCUUGAUGCUCAUUUUAAUACCUGAAAAUGCUGUAAACCUCCUCCAAACCCAAGCAUGUAACAGAAUAAAGUAUUUUCUUGUAAUUAAUGCUGUCACUGCAGAGCUGUUAAUUCAAUUCAUGACCUUUUCUAUCAAACCAAGUAAAGGCAGAAUGUUGCACUAAUCCCAACCUGCCUGUGUUACCCCUUGGAAAACAACAAGAAAAAGGCUGCUGGUUGUAACUGCCCUGGUGACUGUAACUUCUUCAAUCUCCCCUUAGCUGGAAUGUCAGCCAAAGCAUUGCCUGUUUCUAAUGUGGGCUAUUACACCUUAUUUUCUCUACUUCCCCUCGUUGUGGUCUUUUCUCUAGUCAAGGUACUGCAGAGUGAUCACCUUCCCCUGAUUUCCCACUGAACUUGUGAGAUCCUUCAUGGACCAUUUUCCUAAAGCUCUGUCCACACCAGAUCUCCUUGGUUUUGUUUCCUUUUUCAUCCUGAGGACAGAAUUUCCAUUCCUAUUUAUGUCAAUUCCACCUUUGCAGCCCUUCUCUUCUCACCAUGAGCCAUGUGGGUUUUCUCACUUACGUGUCCUUUUGCACUUGCUAAAUCUUUUGCCCCCUGCCUUGGCUCUACUACAGUCAUGAUUUCUGCCACUUUGGUCCUGAAUAAAAUGCCUUGAUCUGGUAGAACCCCUGUUCUAAGUCACCGAGAGCUGGAUUCAGCUCCAAACUGACACAUCUGAAUGUCUGCAUCUGCACAUAAGUUAGAUGAUCAAGUACCCAUCAUAGUUGAGAAGGAGCUCACCAAUGGGUCUGUUCAUUUCCCCACAUGCAGACAUCUAGUCCCACUUGAAUGGCCCUGGGGAAUCUCACCUGGCCUCCUGACAAUGCUCCAAAAGGUCUUGGGUCUGUCCUACCUUCUGCAUCAUAUGUGUCAGUCUUGGAGAGGAUGCCUCAGCCACCUUGGGCCAUCUCAGAUGACAGAAGACAUUGUGAAACUGCAUCUAUCUGGAGUAUUCUGCUGUUAGUUUUGGUUGGAGCAGGGUUAGGCCCCUAGUUCACAUCCACAUGUACCUACUACUGAUGCAGUUUCUAGGCAUGGAUAAGAUCUGUUCUCCCCAACAGCAGCAGUAGGAACAAACUGGCUUCUCCAGGGAUCUUCCCACCCUA